rnacentral:rRNA from 1 species
CCUACGGGGGGCAGCAGUGGGGGAUAUUGCACAAUGGGGGAAACCCUGAUGCAGCGACGCCGCGUGAGUGAAGAAGUAUUUCGGUAUGUAAAGCUCUAUCAGCAGGGAAGAAAAUGACAGUACCUGACCAAGAAGCCCCGGCUAACUACGUGCCAGCAGCCGCGGUAAUACGUAGGGGGCAAGCGUUAUCCGGAUUUACUGGGUGUAAAGGGGGCGUUGAUGGUUAUGUAAGUCUGGAGUGAAAGCCCGGGGGCCAACCCCGGGACUGCUUUGGAAACUGUGUAACUGGAGUGCAGGAGGGGCAGGCGGAAUUCCUGGUGUAGCGGUGAAAUGCGUAGAUAUCAGGAGGAACACCGGCGGCGAAGGCGGCCUGCUGGACUGAAACUGACGUUGAGGCUCGAAAGCGUGGGGAGCGAACAGGAUUAGAUACCCGGGUAGUC